rnacentral:snoRNA from 1 species
CCUCUCCUCGAUACGACAGCUCUCCAUUCACUGCACCGUGCGUUUCAAUGGACGAUUGGAGGGGAAAGGAGAGCGAGAUGAACGAUUCAAACACGACCUCACACUGGGUUAUUGCAGAGGUUUCCACGUUAUUACGAUUGGUUCCUCAAGCAUAGGCUGGUAACUGCGUUUUUGAUACAUUU